UGGGGAAUAUUGGGCAAUGGGCGAAAGCCUGACCCAGCAACGCCGCGUGAAGGAAGAAGGUCUUCGGAUUGUAAACUUCUUUUAUCAGGGACGAAGGAAGUGACGGUACCUGAUGAAUAAGCCACGGCUAACUACGUGCCAGCAGCCGCGGUAAUACGUAGGUGGCGAGCGUUAUCCGGAUUUACUGGGUGUAAAGGGCGCGUAGGCGGGAAUGCAAGUCAGAUGUGAAAUCCAUGGGCUUAACCCAUAAACUGCAUUUGAAACUGCAUUUCUUGAGUGUCGGAGAGGUAGACGGAAUUCCUAGUGUAGCGGUGAAAUGCGUAGAUAUUAGGAGGAACACCAGUGGCGAAGGCGGUCUACUGGACGAUAACUGACGCUGAGGCGCGAAAGCGUGGGGAGCAAACAGGAUUAGAUACCC
rnacentral:rRNA from 1 species